UUAUAAGAAGGUCUGGCUGUCUACAAGAGCCGCACUGUAAUUGCCCACUUUUUACUCGCACAGAACAACAGCAAAAGAAGGGAAGAUAAUGAGCAUCCUCUGCCUGUUUCUGGGUACGAGUAGAAUCAGAGUGAAACUGAAGGAAGAGCUCAGGAUGUUCCUGUUGUUGGAGGAAAAUGGGGGUAGGGAAGCAAACAAGAGGGCUGCUUUACUGACAAGUCCAUUGUUUCUAUGCAGAGUGCAGACUUUGGAGACAGGAAGAGAGAAAGAGAGAGAGAGGGGAAAGUCGGUGUCUUUUCUAAUCUAUCUCUCUCAGCGAUACGAACCAGACAACAGUCAGACACAGCAAGAGGAAAGACAAUCUUCUGUUGUGCACACAAUUAAGGUACACGGAGGUGCAGAAUCAGGGGAAACACUGCAGGCAGGACUGUGCUGUUAUAAAAUCAUAGCUGAAGUUUGCAGUGUUAGUUGUUAUUUUAUAGAUUGAAAGAAGUACACUUGGUCAGACUUGAUUUUAAAAUUGAAAUUGCAAAGUUUUUGCAAGAAGUGAUUUCCAAAUGAAAGAAUGAAGGGGUUUAUAGAUAUGUAGACGUAAUGCUCCUUUAAGUCGGAUUUAUACUCGAUGGAGGCGUUUAUUGGAUGUCUGGAAAGGUUCAAAAAUCCACCUCGCCGACAUUGGAUUAGAGGGUCUGUGUCCGAGCAAUUUACCUUCCGAGGAUGUGAGUGGGCAGGACGGUCUGAUUGACAACUGAGCCGGCAGGAGAUCUGAACAAACCACCUGGACUCUCACCUGCUCCUGUCAAACCUUGGAUCCAUUCCCCUCAAGCCUCAGUCGUCUGUAGCAACUCCGUCCCCUGGAUUCUUCCUUGUUCCUCUGACUAUCCACGUCUCACCGGGUGCUGGCCGCCACGUGCCAUCUCACGCCGUCUCCUGCUCCACUCCACUGUCGACCUUUGCACCUGCCGACCUGCCGAUGACUUCCCCAGUUCCCCACUCUGUUCCCCUGUCAGUUAAGUUCCCCAAUCCUGAGCCAGGCUGGUAGCUACUUUUGCAUACUGUUAAAUUCAGGAUUGUUGUACUUGCAUGUGUAUGCUUUUUUUUUUUUUUUUUUAAUUCUUUAUUUUACCAGGUAAGCUCAGUUGAAAACAAUUUCUUGUUUACAAUGAUGACCUGGCAAGAGGCCCCAGCUGAAAGAAUAACACAUAAACAAGUAUCUAUACAAAAAAUUACACACAGGUAUUUAAACAGAGAUUAAAAACACCCUAAAUUAAUGCUAGAAAUUCAAUGAAAACAUUCAGCAUGUGCAGUGAUUUGUAUAAUCGUGUAGUGUGUCGCUGUUUGUAUGGCUUCCGUUCUCUGUAUAUUUCCGGGUUAGUUUUUUCAUUGGUUGGUUUGUUCUCUGCUAGGUUUUUCCUAGAGUUACCUAACGGCCCCGUUUAGCGAAGCAAUUUUUAGCCCUGGUUAAUUCUACAUAGCGUAGAUUUUGCUGUAGUAUUCUCUAGUUCUUGUCGUAUUUUCCUGUGUACUUCGCUCUCCUGCUUAGGUAGCACCUUCUGUGGGUUAGCUACUUCGUUUCCCUGUGUAAUUAGAGUUGGUGCAUUUGCUCUGCCUGCCCAUUAGAGGGUUUAGUUUCCCAUUCUGCUUAUUCAUGUUCUGUGUAACUUGUCAUGAAAGCCAGUGAUGAUUUAAAAGUGAACUGUCAUAGGAUUUGCUGACAAUAAAAACCAAAAGAGUA